CAGCCGCCGCGGUAAUACAGAGGGUGCGAGCGUUAAUCGGAUUUACUGGGCGUAAAGCGUGCGUAGGCGGCUUCUUAAGUCUGAUGUGAAAUCCCUGAGCUUAACUUAGGAAUUGCAUUCGAUACUGGGAAGCUAGAGUAUGGGAGAGGAUGGUAGAAUUCCAGGUGUAGCGGUGAAAUGCGUAGAGAUCUGGAGGAAUACCGAUGGCGAAGGCAGCCAUCUGGCCUAAUACUGACGCUGAGGUACGAAAGCAUGGGGAGCAAACAGGAUUAGAUACCCCUGUAGUCCCUGUCUCUUAUAC
rnacentral:rRNA from 1 species